GUCACCCUGUGAAGAAGGUGCCUGCUUCUCCUUUGCCUUCCACCAUCAUUGUAAGCUUCCUGAGGCCUUCGCAGCAAUGUAGAACUCCUUCUACCAUCACUGCCAAGACCCACCAAAAUGGAAAAUCCAUGAAGGCAGGGACUUUGUUUUCUUCACUGCUAUAGAACCUAUGUCCAGAACAAAACUAAAGAUAACAGGCCUGCUAUGAUGGCUCACACCUGUACCUGGCAAAUUGGGAAGCCAAGGCAGGAGGAUCCCUUGAAGCCAGGAUUUCAAGACCAG
rnacentral:lncRNA from 1 species